CUAGACUGGUGGGGUCCACCCCCACGAAUCUUUAGUUAACAGCAAAACACCCUAGUUAACUGGCUUCAAUCUA
rnacentral:tRNA from 1 species